UUUUAACCUAAGGCAUAUGUGAUAACAAUUUUAUCAUCAUAUUGCGUUUUGAGGCAAUAAUUUCACCUUCAACAAUGGCAGUUACUAAUUAAUAGGGUAAUUCCAGGAUAGAUGCCCCAGUGGGAUAGAUGACUUGAUUUUUAUUUCACUAUGUUAGGAGCACUGUAGGAGUUAAAUUUUACUGUAAGUAACGAGUCCUCCCCCUGCAAACCUUAGUGUCGGGAGGAAUUUCGACCGGAGUGCAUGCGUUUCGUCUGUGUGAGUAAAAAUGUUCCGCGGUGAGACGACAAAAGGCGCCAAAAUAAGAUUCGAGAGCAAAAUGCCUCGUAAAUAUAAAAGGAAACAGGGUGUUGUCCCUCGUACUGUAACCUAGACCGAAGACAGUAUGCUAGCAGCGUUUGAAGAGAUGAAAACGGGAGAGAAAGGCGUAAAUCAGAUUUCUAGAAUAUAAUGAAUACCAUCUAAAAUAUUAAGACGAAGAUUUGCCGUUAACAGCAAUUCUUAUUUUUAAAGUUACUGUAUGUGUUGUUGUUUUAAAUUUGAAUUACUUUUACUUUGUAUUGUAUUGCAUCAUAUCAUUGUAGUUACUGUCUGGCAUAAUUAUUACUGAAAAAAAAUAUAUAUAUCCAGCAUU